rnacentral:misc_RNA from 1 species
AAGUCGUAACAAGGUUUCCGUAGGUGAACCUGCGGAAGGAUCAUUAUCAAGUGCCCGGCAUAGGUAUGCCUACCAGCUGCCUCUGUCGCGUGCCAUCCUUACCACCCUUGUCUAUGAAUACCUUUUGUUAUCCCUCGGCAAGAUUCGCUUAGCGAUCUCGCCGAACGGGACCAUAUAACCACUCUUGUAAUAAGUAUUAUACCUUCUGAUACCUUAGUAAAAUAAGUAACAACUUUCAACAAUGGAUCUCUUGGUUCUG